GUAACACAGUGGUUUUAUAUGGUUUUGUAUGCAUACACUGUACAUUGAAAUGCUCUAAUCUGUCCCAAGCAAGAGUCCCCAGGGAGUGGAGAAACUGCAGAUAAGUUGAAAAUGAAUCAGCAGCUCUAGGCAAGACCAAAGACCCUUGACUCAGAAGACACAGCGUAUAAUUCGACAAAGAAAUGCUGAACAGUAAAGACCCCUGAUGGUUUACAA